rnacentral:rRNA from 1 species
ACACUGGGACUGAGACACGGCCCAGACUCCUACGGGAGGCAGCAGUGGGGAAUCUUGGACAAUGGGCGCAAGCCUGAUCCAGCCAUUCCGCGUGGAUGAUGAAGGCCUUAGGGUUGUAAAAUCCUUUCAGCGGGGAAGAUAAUGACGGUACCCGCAGAAGAAGCCCCGGCUAACUCCGUGCCAGCAGCCGCGGUAAUACGGAGGGGGCUAGCGUUGUUCGGAAUUACUGGGCGUAAAGCGCGCGUAGGCGGAUCAGCCAGUCAGAGGUGAAAGCCCAGGGCUCAACCCUGGAACUGCCUUUGAUACUGUUGAUCUGGAGUUCGGUAGAGGUGUGUGGAAUUCCGAGUGUAGAGGUGAAAUUCGUAGAUAUUCGGAGGAACACCAGAGGCGAAGGCGACACAC